UUUCCGUAGGUGAACCUGCGGAAGGAUCAUUACUGAGUUUUGGAUGAAGUUGUUCUGGUCUUUCGGGGCAAGUGAACGCUUCUCUCAAUCCAUCUUACACCUGUGCACCUAUCGGGGAAGACUUGGAUCUAAGUUGGGUCACGACGGCGAUCUACAGUCUCCUCUUUGUACCAAAUAACAGUUUUAGAAAGUCUUUUUUGCUUGAUGCAAACUUAAAUAAAUACAACUUUCAGCAACGGAUCUCUUGGCUCUCACAUCGAUGAAGAACGCAGC
rnacentral:misc_RNA from 1 species